rnacentral:rRNA from 1 species
AUUGAACGCUGGCGGCAUGCCUUACACAUGCAAGUCGAACGGCAGCAUGGAGGAGCUUGCUCCUCUGAUGGCGAGUGGCGAACGGGUGAGUAAAGCAUCGGAACGUACCGUGUAGUGGGGGAUAACGUAGCGAAAGUUACGCUAAUACCGCAUACGCACUGAGGUGGAAAGCAGGGGAUCGCAAGACCUUGCGCUAUACGAGCGGCCGAUGUCAGAUUAGCUAGUUGGUAGGGUAAAGGCCUACCAAGGCGACGAUCUGUAGCGGGUCUGAGAGGAUGAUCCGCCACACUGGGACUGAGACACGGCCCAGACUCCUACGGGAGGCAGCAGUGGGGAAUUUUGGGACAAUGGGGGAAACCCUGAUCCAGCCAUGCCGCGUGAGUGAAGAAGGCCUC